AGGACGAACGCUGGCGGCGUGCUUAACACAUGCAAGUCGAACGGAAAGGCCCUUUCGGGUGUACUCGAGUGGCGAACGGGUGAGUAACACGUGGGUGAUCUGCCCUGCACUUUGGGAUAAGCCUGGGAAACUGGGUCUAAUACCGAAUACACCUUGCUGGCUGCAUGGCCUGGUGUGGGAAAGCUUUUGCGGUGUGGGAUGGGCCCGCGGCCUAUCAGCUUGUUGGUGGGGUGAUGGCCUACCAAGGCGACGACGGGUA
rnacentral:rRNA from 1 species